rnacentral:rRNA from 1 species
UAACCCGACGAAGGGGAGGCUACGGUCCGUUAAGGGAGUUGAUUGGUAACUGGGGUG